rnacentral:rRNA from 1 species
UACAGAGGUCUCAAGCGUUGUUCGGAUUCAUUGGGCGUAAAGGGCGCGUAGGCGGCGGGGUAAGUCGGGUGUGAAAUCUCAGAGCUCAACUCUGAAAUGGCACUUGAUACUGCUCUGCUAGAGGACUGGAGAGGAGAUUGGAAUUCACGGUGUAGCGGUGGAAUGUGUAGAUAUCAGGAAGAACACCAGUGGCGAAGGCGGCUCACUGGCCCGAUACUGACGCUGAGGCACGAAAGCGUGGGGAGCAAACAGG